rnacentral:rRNA from 1 species
UAGUCCACACCGUAAACGAUGAAUGCCAGAUGUUGGACAGCAUGCUGUUCAGUGUCACACCUAACGGAUUAAGCAUUCCGCCUGGGGAGUACGGUCGCAAGAUUAAAACUCAAAGGAAUUGUCGGGGGCCCGCACAAGCGGUGGAGCAUGUGGUUUAAUUUGAAGCAACGCGCAGAACCUUACCAACCCUUGACAUCCUGUGUUAUAUUCAGAGAUGGAUAGUUCCCUUCGGGGACGCAGUGACAGGUGCUGCAUGGCUGUCGUCAGCUCGUGUCGUGAGAUGUUCGGUUAAGUCCGGCAACGAGCGCAACCCACAUCUUUAGUUGCCAGCAGUUCGGCUGGGCACUCUAAAGAAACUGCCCGUGAUAAGGGGGAAGAAGGUGUGGAUGACGUCAAGUCUUCAUGGCCCUUACGGGUUGGGCUACACACGUGCUACAAUGGUGGUGACAAUGGGUUAAUCCCAAAAAGCCAUCUCAGUUCGGAUUGGGGUAUGCAACUCGACCCCAUGAAGUCGGAAUCGCU